rnacentral:rRNA from 1 species
UACGUAGGUGGCAAGCGUUGUUCGGAAUUAUUGGGCGUAAAGAGCUCGUAGGCGGUUCGUCGCGUCGGCUGUGAAAACCCGGAGCUCAACUCCGGGCCUGCAGUCGAUACGGGCGGACUUGAGUGUUGCAGGGGAGACUGGAAUUCCUGGUGUAGCGGUGAAAUGCGCAGAUAUCAGGAGGAACACCGGUGGCGAAGGCGGGUCUCUGGGCAACUACUGACGCUGAGGAGCGAAAGCGUGGGGAGCGAACAGG